rnacentral:rRNA from 1 species
ACGGGAGGCAGCAGUGGGGAAUAUUGCACAAUGGGGGAAACCCUGAUGCAGCGACGCCGCGUGAGUGAAGAAGUAUUUCGGUAUGUAAAGCUCUAUCAGCAGGGAAGAAAAUGACGGUACCUGACUAAGAAGCCCCGGCUAACUACGUGCCAGCAGCCGCGGUAAUACGUAGGGGGCAAGCGUUAUCCGGAUUUACUGGGUGUAAAGGGAGCGUAGACGGCGAAGCAAGUCUGAAGUGAAAGCCCACGGCUCAACCGUGGAACUGCUUUGGAAACUGUUUUGCUAGAGUGCAGGAGGGGCAGGCGGAAUUCCUAGUGUAGCGGUGAAAUGCGUAGAUAUUAGGAGGAACACCAGUGGCGAAGGCGGCUUACUGGACUGUAACUGACGUUGAGGCUCGAAGGCGUGGGGAGCAAACAGGAUUAGAUACCCUGGUA